rnacentral:tRNA from 1 species
ACUCUGUAGCUCAGUUGGUAGAGCAACAGAUUGAAGCUCUGUGUGUCGCUGGUUCGAUUCCUGUAAAGUACCA